rnacentral:rRNA from 1 species
GAUGAACGCUGGCGGCGUGCCUAAUACAUGCAAGUCGAGCGAACUGAUUAGAAGCUUGCUUCUAUGACGUUAGCGGCGGACGGGUGAGUAACACGUGGGCAACCUGCCUGUAAGACUGGGAUAACUUCGGGAAACCGAAGCUAAUACCGGAUAGGAUCUUCUCCUUCAUGGGAGAUGAUUGAAAGAUGGUUUCGGCUAUCACUUACAGAUGGGCCCGCGGUGCAUUAGCUAGUUGGUGAGGUAACGGCUCACCAAGGCAACGAUGCAUAGCCGACCUGAGAGGGUGAUCGGCCACACUGGGACUGAGACACGGCCCAGACUCCUACGGGAGGUAGCAGUAGGGAAUCUUCCGCAAUGGACGAAAGUCCGACGGAGCAACGCCGCGUGAGUGAUGAAGGCUUUCGGGUCGUAAAACUCUGUUGUUAGGGAAGAACAAGUACGAGAGUAACUGCUCGUACCUUGACGGUACCUAACCAGAAAGCCACGGCUAACUACGUGCCAGCCGCCGCGGUAAGAC